rnacentral:rRNA from 1 species
GGAAUAUUGGUCAAUGGGCGCGAGCCUGAACCAGCCAAGUAGCGUGCAGGAUGACGGCCCUAUGGGUUGUAAACUGCUUUUAUGCGGGGAUAAAGUGCACCACGUGUGGUGUUUUGUAGGUACCGCAUGAAUAAGGACCGGCUAAUUCCGUGCCAGCAGCCGCGGUAAUACGGAAGGUCCGGGCGUUAUCCGGAUUUAUUGGGUUUAAAGGGAGCGCAGGCUGAUUGUUAAGCGUGACGUGAAAUGUAGCCGCUCAACGGCUGAACUGCGUCGCGAACUGGCAGUCUUGAGUGAGUACGACGUCAGCGGAAUUCGUGGUGUAGCGGUGAAAUGCUUAGAUAUCACGAAGAACCCCGAUUGCGAAGGCAGCUGACGAGUCCUUUACUGACGCUAAAGCUCGAAGGUGCGGGUAUCGAACA